rnacentral:rRNA from 1 species
GGGCAUCGGUGACAGGUGGUGCAUGGUUGUCGUCAGCUCGUGUCGUGAGAUGUUGGGUUAAGUCCCGCAACGAGCGCAACCCCUAUUGUCCAGUUGCCAUCAUUCAGUUGGGCACUCUGGCGAGACUGCCGGUGACAAAUCGGAGGAAGGUGGGGACGACGUCAAAUAUCAUGCCCCUUAUGCCAGGGCUACACACGUACUACAAUGGCCGGCAACAAAGUGCAGCAAUACCGUGAGGUGGAGCGAAUCACAAAACCCGGUCUCAGUUCAGAUUGCAGGCUGCAACUCGCCUGCAUGAAGUUGGAAUUGCUAGUAAUCGCGAAUCAGAAUGUCGCGGUGAAUACGUUCCCGGGCCUUGUACACACCGCCCGUCACACCAUGAGAGUCGAUAACACCCGAAGCCUGUGAGCUAACCGUAAGGAGGCAGCAGUCGAAGGUGGGGUUGAUGAUUGGGGUGAAGUCGUAACAAGG